GGAAGCGUAGCUCAGUUGGUUAGAGUGCAUGGUUGACAUCCAUGAGGUCACUGGUUCGACUCCAGCCGUUUCCA
rnacentral:tRNA from 1 species